rnacentral:rRNA from 1 species
UACGUAGGGUGCAAGCGUUGUCCGGAUUUAUUGGGCGUAAAGAGCUCGUAGGCGGUUUGGCAAGUCGGGUGUGAAACCUCCAGGCUCAACCUGGAGACGCCACUCGAUACUGCUAUGACUUGAGUCUGGUAGGGGAUCACGGAAUUCCUGGUGUAGCGGUGAAAUGCAUAGAUAUCAGGAGGAACACCGGUGGCGAAGGCGGUGAUCUGGGCCGAGUACUGACGCUGAGGAGCGAAAGCGUGGGGAGCGAACAGG